rnacentral:rRNA from 1 species
AAGAUUAAGCCAUGCAUGUCUAAGUAUAAGCAAUUUAUACAGUGAAACUGCGAAUGGCUCAUUAAAUCAGUUAUCGUUUAUUUGAUAGUACCUUACUACUUGGAUAACCGUGGUAAUUCUAGAGCUAAUACAUGCUUAAAAUCCCGACUGUUUGGAAGGGAUGUAUUUAUUAGAUAAAAAAUCAAUGUCUUCGGACUCUUUGAUGAUUCAUAAUAACUUUUCGAAUCGCAU